UCAAGCGGUUUUUCCUGGGUGAACUGUCAACGAGAGCGUGGUCCACAGUGCUGCUCUGCUCCGGACGGCUCCUCUGCUCUCAUCUCAGGGCGAGAACGGCCAUACGUGCGAGUUCCACGUUUUGGAGGGAACGAGGUAAAAUUGUGAAUGUUCCUAUGUGGUUCCCAUGAAUACCAUGGUUCCCAUGUGAUGAGAAGGAGGACAUUCACACCUUUUGCCUGUUUAUGAGAAAGAGAUACCACAAACAUCUCAGAAAAGUGAAGAAAAGCGUGCCACCAAGAAAUGCCAUCAAGAGCCACCACCAUGACCACAAGCAAAUGUCUGAUCGGCUUGGAUUUUCUUUCUACCUACCCAUCACUGUUCCUCCGAGUGGACUUUAUCUCCUUAUUUUCUUACUCUGAUGUACUAGAAUUAAGAAAGGACAUUUAAAAACAUUUUCAUGUAGAUCAUCAGUUGGUUUUGGUGUUUAAAUCACUGGCUAGCACAUAUCAUUGACAGUCCUUGUUCAACUAACAAGUGGUGUACGUUUAGACAUAACCUAACCUGUAGAAAUAAAUCAGCCCAGGUUCAUCACGAGCCUUUCAACCUUAACCACAUUGAAGUACUCUAUGAAGACACAUAGAGGGAAAUUCCAGAAAAGUCAGCACUUAACUACCUUACUAACACUACCUUAACACCAUGUAGUGUGUCAUGAUGUAAGUUGAUCCUUUUGGUUAGGAUAGGACUCCAAAACGGGAGCAGCAACUCAGUCAGCUUAACAGAAUAAUUUAAAGACAUACACAGGCCAUUUUCACUGCCACAUAGUACCAGAACAGCAAAGCAGCAGAAGUAAUGUAUACAUCAUUGAUUUUUAUCCCUUUCAGAGCUGCCUUUCUUAGUACUUUUAAUGAAACAUUAAAUGAUUGUAACGUAAACUGUAACAGAAUGGCAUAGUUUUAUACUUUCUUAAUUGGAUGCUAAUAUCCAUGUCAGUAUUUGCAUGAAAAAUGGUGUACUAAGCCAAAAUAUCAAGGUUUUUAAAACUCAUAAUCAUUCUUCUGCUGAUACCAUCUGUCAGCUUAAUCUUCACCUCCCAGAAUUCAGGGAAGAGGGUGCCUUCAGGGAAAGGAAAAGGAAAAAAAUUACUGUUAUGAAAGUACCGUAAAUUGAGUUUAGACCAUGGACUUGAAAUCCCAUCUGAUUAGAUAGGACUUAUUAGUUAUUAAUUGUCAGAGUUGGAAAAUAAUUAAGAAUUACUGUUGGGGCACUGUCACUCAUCCUCCCUGAAGAAGCUGUAGGGCUCCCUGGAGAAGGCGAUGGAAAGCAGCUCACACGCACAGCCCGCACAGCAAGCCGCCUGCAGAGAAGUUACAGAGGCUGUCUCUGAGAUCGCUUGGCUCAGCUGAAAUUCCCUCACGAGCAGUGAAAGUCUGUGUAUCCUCUGCGCUGCAGUGGAGGGCAAGCGAAGGAGUCUGAAUCGCGUAUGCAGUGUGCUUGAUUCUUCUUGAGCUUGUUAUUUUUACAGCGACCCUGCAUCUGCAUAACCUGCAUAUAGCUUUUGCCUGGGACAAGCCACCUGCUACAUGUACAUCCUUCUUCAGUGUACCAUUAGAUACCCAGUAAGAAAGUCAAAUCCUCAUGAAAAAAGGGAGGAGUGGAGCUGGAGAGCACAUUACCUGCUGCAAUUUAUUCUGAAAUUAGAACAUAUGGGCAAAGCAAGCGCAUAUCUUCUUCAAGAUUAUCUCAAAUCUCUGCCAUACUGCAGGGGCUACAGGCCAACUCUUUCUUAACAAAAGUAAGAGGGUGAAUUUUCAAGUAUCUCCAGCUGUUGGCAAAUUCUCUGUCACGUAGCUACUUUACUAGAUUGCCCUAAAGAAAUUCAAAAGCCAUCGUUCUCUCAAAAUGUCGCUAUUGUUCAAAUUUUAGAGGCAAACAAAUGCAGCUGUACCUCCCCGGCUUCCACUGAGGUGCUCGGUCUCUGGAAACACCUAACUGGAGGUAAUCCCUGCCCAUGGAACAGUACAGGUGAGACCUGGCUCCUCUCCAUCGCCAGGGAUUGGAUUGCAAUAGGAGUGAAUCUACAGAGCAAACCAGCGCGUGCUGAGGUCUGUAUCCUGCAUGUUUGGGGAUUACUCUGCAUUAGCUCUGGUCUGAUCAUGUUGAGCCCUUAGUGAGUGCAGUGCGUUGUGUGAUCUCAGUGUGCAUCCUCCAGUUCAGGCUCAUUCAAAAGCAAUCUGCUUCACACAUUUAGGGAGAAUUUUGCAAGCAAGCCCAUGCACAGUAAGUGGGGAAACUAGUAAGAACUGCUUCAAAUGUGCCCAUCUAAUCCAAAUGAAACAAAUAUACUUUAUUUCUUUUUUUCCUUUACUUUAAACCAGUAUGAGCUUUGAAAAAAAUAUACAGGGCAUUUUUAAAUGAUUUUAUUUUUAAACAAACAAAGAAGUCAAAGUGUUUUAAUGUUGCAAUGCUUCAAUUUUUUCCUCUUUCUUUUUUUCCUCCCCAGGGAAUACUUACAGCUUUUCAUACUGCUUUGAAUAGCUGGUCAGAGGAAAGCGUGGAAGUAAAAACUUGAUCUACUAAUAGCUGCUCUGCUUCCCUGCUAUCUGCUGCUGCUGCCUUGCUUGCUUGCGAAUAUGUGCCACAAACAAUUAUGAAAAAAACUAAAGCAGCAUGUAAGAAGUGUGUAGCCCUUGGCAUGUGCACAGAAGGUGGUAUUUGCAAGAGCCUCCAAACCAGCAGGAAAUAAAAGAACUCAAGUCAGAGAGAAGGACGAGCAAACUCAUUCAAUAACCUCUUUGUCAAGGAAAAAAAACAAGCAAGCCUGGAGGUGGAAAAGAGAUAACCGAAGUUCAUAUGACACAGGUCUGUGCAAUCAUAAAUGAAGAAGUUAAUAAAGUUGUUCAUUGUUUCUCAAAAUAGAAGAACUAGGGGACAACAAAUGGACUGAUUAGGUAACAGGUUCAAAACAAUCAGGAAAUACAUUUCCAUCAUCUAGUUAAACAGUUGGUUUAGUUAAACUAGUUCGUUAAACAUCUAGUCAAAUUCAUGGCUAUGAGCCAGAAAUAUAUUUGAAGUAAAAAGGUCAGCAGCCAAACUGAUAGAAGAAAAAAGAUCCAUCGAGGACUUAGAAGGUAUAAUCUCUGUCUCAGUUGCAAAGUCUUAUUCUUAUAUUUUUGCCCAGGUAUACACUGUUGGUCACUACUGGAGAGUGGCUAAUGGCCUAGACCAGACCUGACAUGGCUCUUCUCAUUCUCUAAAUUACAAGGCUAGAAAUUCAAUUCACUUCAAUUGUCAGGAACCCACCGAAGUCAGCUGACCUAUGCAGAUUUAUUCUGAGGACCUCUCUGUAUAUUUUUAACAAACUAUCAUAGAAAAGGAAGGACCUUAGGAAAAGAAAAAAAUACAAAAAAAAAAAAAAAAAAAAAGAUCUUAAGAAGUCUUUUCAUUACCUUAAGGUAUCAACUAUUAGAAAUUCUGUUUGAAAUACUUAUGUGGUUUUCCAAGGAGCGACAUUCAGCAACUGCUCCAUCUUGCCUCCUGGUAAAGCUUAUAUAAGAAGGGCAGUUCUCCAGACCUGACUCUGCUAAACAAGGGCAGGGGGUUAGUUUUAAUCAGACUCCUUCUCUGAAAUGAUGUUUUUUCAAUCCUCAUCUCACACCUCUGGUUUCUUAGAUUUCAGCUCAGAUUAAGCAGUAACUCAGCUCCAAAGCAACCAAAGUUACUUAGGUCAAAUCCAACACAAUGAAAUAAAUCCACAGUCAAGUCAUGUUAAGAAAGAUCGGUGUGUUUCCUCUUCCAUUUGGGAACCAUGCAACACGAAACUGCCCUGUUGUUUCCUGGAAGAAUGAAGGUCUUUGAGCGCAAUAACAGCUAAGCAGAAACAUUACUUAGACUAUCAGCUGAACCAAAGGUUGCUGAUGACAUCUGAAGUCAGUCUUACGUGGCAUUAACAUGUAAAUAUUAGGUAAAUACAUCACUAAAAGCCACUAAGUAUUUUUUCUGAUGUUAAACACCAUCUGCUUCCCCUGUUUCAUUUUUGAAAGACCCAAACCCAUGACAUUCUGCUCCAUAUCCACUUUGCCAAGCUGAGAGAGAGCUCUGUGGCAUAGGCAGCUGUCCAGCUGUGGGGUUCACAUCACAGAUUCCUACGACCUCUGUGCCAACGCACCUCUUUUCCAGCUGGGCUUUGGCUUCAUCCUUCCUCUGGCUGACCCACUGUUAGACUGCUAACGUCAGGUCCCUAACGACAGUCAGGGAUACCAAAUGCACAUACAAGUGAACCUGUAAUGAAUCCCUAUUGUAAUUCCAUCAGCUGUACAAAGUACAUGGAUUAAAUACUACUUGCCACACAGAUGAAUGUUUUCCGGGGUGUGUAUUUAUUGGUAAGAAAAAUUGACUAGCAGGGUACCUGAAUUUUAUUUAUAGCAUCUAUUCAUAGCACAUAGACCCGUUCUACAAUUGUAGUCACUAUUAAAAAAGUCAACAAAAGGCUACAGUAAUAUCUGAACUUCUCUAGCAAUUUCCUCUCUCACAUUAGACAUGCCUUACUUUCCCUUUGUUAUCCAAGGAAGUAUUAUUUGUAUAAUGUUCCACUGUGCUUUAAAUAGUUCUCCAGUUCCUUUCUCAGAUGAAUUAAGAAUAAAAUUAUCUUUUAUUAAUCAAACACUAUUCCUUUGUUACCUCAGAUUCUCAGUUUCAGAUGUGCUGGGGUUAAAAAAAAAGUCCUCUUCUCCCUAACUCCUGCAAAGCCCUCCAGGGAGUCCCUGUCACAUUUAAUCUUUCUCUAGCUUGCUGGUUCUCGGGGUGUCUUCUGAAUAACACCAGUUCUGUCUAUUUUAUUUGCUCCCUCUUACACACGUGCAAUUUAAGAAAAGUAAUUGAAACUAUGGCAUCUCACCUUGCAGUAUCUGUGUAGUUUGAACAGCCAAGUAUCUAGAGAUCAAAUUUCUGCUUAUCAGCUGCAUAAAUGUGAUCCAAAGCCUGGAGACAUCAGUGAACUCUGCAGGAGUUCACUUGCUGAGCAGGUGUUCAUGGCCCAUCACAGGAAAAGAGGUUUGGGCUAGAAAUAGCUUUUUACCUCUCCAGACUGAGUAGCUUUUGCUGCAAUUUGUACCUCUGGACCUACCAGUCAGUACAGUAACAUCCAGGUUACUCUGAACUAGACUGCCAGUCCAGGCCAAACACAACGGUGAGGCAGCAAACAAUUGUGUGUCUCCUGCCCAGGUUUUGCUAUGCACAUAAACUGGUGACGCUGCAGGAGCUCUGUAUUGCCAUACUGGAGCCACAGUGGCUGCAGUGAGAGCCUCUUGCCAUGCCAUGAUACGUAGACUUCUAGGGCACUUACUGUCAGAAACUUUCUCACAUUUUUUACACAACUGACCAUGUUGUUUUCAGCCAUGCAAUUUCUUUUUUUUUUUUUUUUUAAGUGGAAGCUUGAUUUUAUAUUUUUUAAUUUUUUCUUUACAUUAACUUCUGAGAAUUAAAAAAAUUACCAGUGUUAAACUGCCGUCUAUAGAAAUGAGACAGCAAACAGGCUGGUCAGACCUCAUCAGACAGAAUAGUUUUCUGUUGAAAAAAAUCCCACCCUGCUAUUUCCCAGAAAUUGAAAUAUCUCAUGAAAAGCAUCCCUACAUCUGGAAACACAGGUCUGAGCCAUAAUUCAUUAAGCACCUAGACUGCCCGUUACAAAAGGGAGAAUCUGUU